UGUUGCUUGGGUUGUCUGAGGAAGACUUGUGUGGGGGGAACCACACCAUUAUGGACUCACAGAAACUGGAUUUACUCUCUUGUCUAUAACAACAACAAAACCACACAA